rnacentral:rRNA from 1 species
UUUUAUGGAGAGUUUGAUCCUGGCUCAGGAUGAACGCUGGCGGCGUGCCUAAUACAUGCAAGUCGAGCGAACAGAUAAGGAGCUUGCUCCUUUGACGUUAGCGGCGGACGGGUGAGUAACACGUGGGUAACCUACCUAUAAGACUGGAAUAACUCCGGGAAACCGGGGCUAAUGCCGGAUAACAUUUAGAACCGCAUGGUUCUAAAGUGAAAGAUGGUUUUGCUAUCACUUAUAGA